UUUGCCAUGGCAGAUCUGGACUUCGGCAACUACACGGUACCAGGGGAUGGUAUUCUGUAGUCCUGGGCAGCGGGAAGAGAGCUCAUAGACACCAGGAGAGGUGGUGAGGUUGGCACCCACAGACAGGACACAGAGACCACGGGUGGCCCAGCAGUUCCGGGCUUCAGCCUUGACCUCACAUACACGGCCUGGUGGGCAGC
rnacentral:lncRNA from 1 species